CAGAGACACUGAUGACAUCAUAGGGUGUGCAUCGUGUGAUUUUAACCAACUAUGAGCAGGUAAACUGUACUCUGCUAUGAGAACCAGCCUUCAGUCCCACUUUUCAUAAAGAUAUAUUCAAUGGAAACCGGAUAACAGGGCAGGUUGCACGAUAUAUUUCCACAAAUCUAACAACGUCGACUAAGCAAAUGUUUUCAAAAAACAACACUUUUAUAUGUACUUAUAUUUUCUCAAUUUUAGUUACAUUUAUCGAAAACCCAUAUACCAACAACAGAUUGCGGCUUUGACGUCAAGAAGGGAAUGCCCUGGUGAAUGCGACAGUGCACUACAACCACUGUUUACCGGUAUACAUUUUUGGCUGAAAUGUGAGAAGAUGGGAAGAAAGUGGGACUGCUUCUUAAGGAUGUGGUGGGCAGACUGGGUCAGGGGAACCCCUGGCGCUCACUUUGUCCGAAACGAUUACGAUGGCUACCAACAGUAGAAGAGUGGAUUUGCCAUGAAGCUGAGGCUAAAAACUGGUACUGUGCCCACAGUCAAUGUGGGCGCCAAGUCUACUGACACCACCGGUGUUACUAUGAUGGCGGGCGUCUUCGGUGAUGGAGCCCUCCCUCCCUGCCUGAGGAUGAAAGACUGUAGGCCAUGACAUCUGAUCUGGUGACUUACCUCCAUGAGAGCACUCUGCUAUCUGAAGACAAUGUUUGGCCCGGCUACCAUCUUUUCCUCCCCCAUAAAUAAUUUUGUCUUAAUGUCAGUUGUCGGAUGCUUUGAAACAAGAACUUUUCUUUCCCGACACAGAUCUUAGAGGAAACCCAGGAUAUGAAGCCGAAUUGAAUACAAAUCAUGCUUAAGGAUCUGUGAAAUGGCCGAUGUGCUGUACUCACAGCCAGGCACUAAGCCUGCUACACUGACAGGUAAAACGGAGAGUUCCUCUGACUCACACACUCCACAACACAGGGGAUGAAUUCAAUUAAAUUCAUCAAUCUGGCUACACACGUUCUUCUUGUCUGUUGAAUCACACAGUUACUAAACCUGCUCUGAGGAGAGACUGCCUCUGUGGGUAUAGUGCUUUUAAAUUCAAAGCAGAACUCUGAAGCGUCAUAAGUAGCAGUUCAUAUUCAUGACAUGUUCACAUCGAGCUCUGGGGGCAUUACUUGAUUGAAAUAUCACAGUGUACCAAAUCUUAUUACCGAGCUGAUCUAGAAUUCACAGCGAGCAGGGGCCAGAACUUUUGCACUUGGCUGACUGCAUGGUUGCUGUCUUGACCAAUGGAUAUAUGUCCAUAUUAGAGGGAUAAAUCAGUCCCAUCAGUGACCGUAGCCCAUGCGAUAGCCUAGGGCCACUGUGGCUUCUUAACCCCUACAUUCCGUUAGAAUUCCAUGCAAUAUGUCACCAUAUUAAAUAAUAUGUAUAUAUACUCAAGUGCCCUGGUCCAGCUGUUUGAAAAUAAGCAUUCUGACAGCAUGUUGGUGACAGCAACUGCUCUGACCUCAAUCGGAAUAGCCGGGGAGAUUGCACACAGAUCAAAAUAAUCUCCUUUAGUCAAGACUUUAAAAAAAGAGACGUGCCUGGUUUUAUUGAAUUCCAGAGACGUAUUUUGUCUAUCAACUCUCAAUGCUUUGGGUGCUCUGCUUCCCUGUAACUAAUGUCACAGGUGCCACUCGCAUGGAAUGUGACAGGCAGUGGUUGCCAUGACAACACAACGUACAGGAUGGUAGGACACAUGGAACAAGGACUUUUUUUAUUGUCAUAGUACUGAGAAUGUACUAUAAAUACUGUCAUUCAUAUGAAUACAAAUCUUGCCAGAAUACGAUAUGAAUAGAGCCCAAGAAAGGUUGAAUAACAGGGAAACCCAAGUUUUAGACGGCAAAGUAAUAUUAUCCCCUAGGUUUUACCUGAAAAAGUCUGCAGUACUGGGCUAUACUUGGCGAUAUUGGCCUAAUUCUAUUACAGUUUUGGCACAAUGUUAAAGUAACGUCAUCUGGUUAAAUGGGCGAAACCUGAAAAGUUUACACAGGAAAGUAAUGAGCAAAGUUAGUGUCGUCAAAAGAUGAAGUGCAUUCGGAAAGUAUUCAGACCCCUUCCCAUUUUCCACAUUUUGUUAUGUUACAGCCUUAUUCUAAAAUUGAUGAAAUAAAUAAAACAUUCUCAUCAACCUACACACAAUACCCCAUAAUGACAAAGCAAAAACAGGUUUUUAGAAAUGUUUGCAAAUGAAUGACAAAUGAAAAAACAGAAAUACCCUUCUUUUCAAUGCAUUCGGAAAGUAUUCAGACCCCUUUAGACCCCUUGUUUUUUUCUCAUCAAUCUACACAAUACCCCAUAAUGGCAAAGCAAAAACAGGUUUGCAGAAAUUUUAGCAAAUGUAUCAUUGAAAAAAAUGAAAUAUCAGAUUUACAUAAGUAUUCAGACCCUUUACUCAGUACUUUGUUGAAGCACCUUUAGCAGCAAUUACAGCCUCGGAUCUUCUUGCAUAUGACGCUUGUGUGAAUGCAAUGGGGAUAGUGUUUCAUAGAGAGAAUGUUUAAUAUUUCUCAAAUGAACGAUGUGAAAUCAACAAAUAAAAGAAAAAGCACAUCAAACAACCUGCUCCCGUGGGUGAGUAAGUGGGUUAGUUAUUUGGCAGAAACAAGAGUAAUGGAAAUCUAAAAUUCCCUUCAAGAAAACUCACCAGGGCAAGACAGCCUUGAAUACACUAGUGGAUUAAUAUUCCUAGCCAUUUUGCACGACUGAGGAGUAACUGCCUCAUUGAUUUUUACAACUUCAUAAAAAUGACAUAGCUAUUUCUUUAAUCAAUUUUACUAACCCCUCAAACUGUAAAUUGUAGUAAUGCAAAGUGAACUGUGCCAGGUAAGUCUCCAGGUCCCAAACCCUCGUGAAAGAUACUGAUCCAGCCAUAUUACCAAAAUGGUUUAUUGGGAGACGGUUAUACUCUGUUAUCCUCUGUUCUAGGCCAAGAUGGAAACCGAUCAAACCGUUAGGGAACCAUCAUGAUGGACACAAUGAUGGAAUCAUUCGAGGGAAAGAAAGACACAGUAGAUCUGAGAAAGAACGUUGUCUUUAUUAAGACUACUCAGCCGAAGCGAGAAACCCUCUCUUCAAUAGAACCUUCCCAAACUAGUAGACAAACAAGAAUAAAAAACUAUUAAUAAUACCUUUGUGUUUCUGGGAGGAGUCGUCAGUCCUUGCUGCAUCGAUUCCCCCCUUCAGCCUGGCUCUGUAAUUGCGUUUUAACUGUAAGUCAUUAGGACAGUUCAGGAACAGUAAUUACAGCGGAGGUAAAGGCUCCAAAUAAAACCAGGGAUUUGAACCAAAAUUAUUUUCCACUCGUUUUGUUCUGAACAGAACCAUAAUUUAGUUCCGAUCAAGAAAUCAAAAUGUAUUUGUCACAUGUGCCAAAUACAACAUGUGUAGUAGACCUUACAAUGAAAUGCUUACUUCCAAGCCCUUAACCAAUAACAAAUCAUUAAAGAGCAUCAGCAAAUAACUAGAGUGAGGCUGUAUACAGGGGGUACCAGUAGAGUGUCAAUGUGAUGGGGCACCAGUAUUGGAGUUAAUUAUGUACAUGUAGGUAGAGUUAUUAAAGUGGCUAUGCAUAGAUAAUAACAGAGUAGCAGCAACGUGGGGAGGGGGGGCAAUGCAAAAGUCUGGGUAGCCACUUGAUAAAGCUCUGAACCGGUUCGAACCAAAAAAAAGUACCAGUUUAUAUCGUUCCUUUUUGUUCUUUUUUAAACCUCUGAAAUAAUUAUAUAUAUAUAUAUUUUAAACAUUUAUCUCCACAUUCAAUUACUUCCCCAAUCAGUGUGGAUAGAGCAGCUUGCUGUGGAGUGGGUAAGCGGAUUAAUCUGUAUAGGAAAGUUGUUAAGAUCAAAUUGUAUUUUGCCAUAACAGCAUGGUUUAGUCAUAAUGAAAGACAAACACACAUUGUGCUGCCAGUAACAGUGUAGGUAGGGUGGGAGGUGCAACUGACAUUUUGCAGGUGAGGUGAGGGCGAGGGCGAAAGGUGGAAGCUUGCCUUGAAGCGCUGGGCAUCACGUGAUGACAUGCACUAUCUGAAUUAUACCUACGGAGGAGCGUCUUCUACGGAUAAACUUUGAAUGUCUUUGAACUUCUGAGUUGGCUUAACAUUGGACCAGAGUAAAUGUUAGCUAACGUUAGCUAGCGAGCUAACAAACGUGUGUGUGCAGAGCAGCACUACCAUUAAAAACAUGUCUUGUGUUUUUUGUCGUUAAGAAAUCUAAUGUGAAACCUGAUAACUAUCAUUAGUAUCGUUAACUAGCAUUGAAAAAGUUAAUCUCUCCCUAAUUUCUGAUUUAUGCUUGUAACGUUGUCAGUAGGCUACAGUAACCUAUGUUUCAGAGGGGAGGAGCAGGUAGCCUACACACACGCACACCCACUGGAAAAGUUUUUCAGCUGGCAGGCAGACGCUGGAAUAAGAUUCUGAGUUAUGGAGUAAGGGGUUUGCGUAGGUGCUUUGUUGCAGUUUUUAUGGGACUGGAAAAAAAAUGCACGAAAUGUGAAAGAACGUUAUUAAAAUAACGGUUCUGUUCCGGAACUUUUCCGAUUUGGGUUUUGUUCCUCAAAUCAUUGUGUUCUUUUACGGUUUUUGGUUCUGUUCCCCGAACCGUUCCAACCCUUGCAAGGUCUUUUAUUCUGCCAGCUCUUCUCAAUGGCUCCCAUGUGCCCCAAAGCAGAAGUGAGUGUUGAGGUCAUCUUGAAUAUGAAGUGUAUUGAACUUGAUUUUUUUUCUCUCUUUCUCUCCCUCUCUCUCUCGCCUCUCAUUUCCUUUCAAAUAAAGUUUAAUUCCACGA